rfam:Myotis brandtii contig167852, whole genome shotgun sequence.
GGCAGUUCUCAGGUGAUGCACCCUGGAAUUGGGCUCCCUCCUCUCUGUGUGUCACUGGAGAACUGCA